AUGUCUUUUUGAUUUUGAUUUAAGGUUUAAUCUGCUCAAUGAUUAAUUAAAUUGCCGCAGUAUUUUAACUGUGCUAAGGUAGCAUAAUCAUUAGUUUCUUUAUUGGGAACUGGAAUGAACGAUUGGACGAGAUAAUUUCUGUCUCUUUUUGAAUUGAUUUUUAAUUUUAUUUUUAAGUUAAAAAGCUUAAAUGAUUUUAAAAGACGAGAAGACCCUAUAGAAUUUUACAUUAUAUUGUUUUUAGUAAUUAAUGGAAAUGUUUAUUUGGGGUGACUUGAAGAUUUAACUAAUUCUUUAAAUUUUUUAUUGAUGAUUAUUAAUUUUAAAUUUUAAUGAUUUUAAGAAUAAAAUAAAUUACCUUAGGGAUAACAGCGUAAUUUUCCUUUUAAGUUCUUAUUUUAAGGGAGGUUUGCGACCUCGAUGUUGGAUUAAAGUUAAUUUUUGGCGCAGUAGCUUAAAAAUUAGGUCUGUUCGACCUUUGAAACUUUACAUGAUCUGAGU
rnacentral:rRNA from 2 species